rnacentral:rRNA from 1 species
UACGUAGGGUGCGAGCGUUGUCCGGAAUUAUUGGGCGUAAAGAGCUCGUAGGCGGUGUGUCACGUCGGCCGUGAAAACCUGGGGCUUAACUCUGGGCGUGCGGUCGAUACGGGCAUCACUAGAGUUCGGCAGGGGAGACUGGAAUUCCUGGUGUAGCGGUGAAAUGCGCAGAUAUCAGGAGGAACACCGGUGGCGAAGGCGGGUCUCUGGGCAACUACUGACGCUGAGGAGCGAAAGCGUGGGGAGCGAACAGG